GCUUUUCUGUUACAAAAUCGUGGUCAGAUUAAUACUAGUUACUCCUGAUUAUCAAAAGUAUCAGGAAACAGAUCACAGCUGUAUUUAAGAACAAAACCAAAAGUAUCUUUUUAGCAUAGAAUCCUUUUGCAUUUGCAAAUAUGAAGGGAGACAAACUGAUGGAGUUCUGUGAGUUAAUAAUUUCAUCACUUGGCAUAAGAGCUUUCUAAUAAUAUGUGUCACAGUCUAUGAAGAUUCCAGUUUUUACAUCUGCUAUACGCAUUCCUGGAAUCCUGUAUCCUGCAUACAGGCUUUACCUUUAAAUUUAUGCUGUAGAAAAAUACUACUAUUUCUUCCACAUCAAAGAGAAGCCAACAGCAGGGGGCUUUGGGUUACAAACAAUAUAAAUGACAGCUGAUUAGGAGAAAAAAAGCAGUCCUACAACAGCCAACUGUUACAUUUAGAGACACAGUUCUGUCCCUGAGCCAUGCCACGGUAGCUAGAGAUGAAGAAAUACCUGAUUGCUGCAGAUAAGUUCUGAAAAGGUAUCUGCAUAUCUUAGCAUCUAAAAGGAGGAAGAAAUAAAUUUUGUUUGUGAUACAUCAGAGUAAACCAAAUGAAAUUAGAAUAAGGCAACAGCUUAGGCAAGCAAAUCUAAUUUUAGAAAAAGCUUAGUAUUGUCACGCCUUUUUUUUUUUUUCCUAGAAUUGCUAGUAUCUUAAAACAAAGUGUGAUCUUUAAACUUUAGACUCAACAACAAACCACAACCAGAAAUGGUAACACAGCCUCAAGGCUUCCAGCUAAGUGUUUGCAUUUCCUGGCAGGAGAUAAUUUUUGAUGAAAAAAUAAAUUCAUAGUAAUGAAAAGAAAAAGCACACAUUUAUGAAGUAGUGAAGUCUGUGGAGAUAUUUAAAUAAGAAUGAUCUAAUAUUUUAUAAUUCUCACAGUGUUGGCUUACCUCAAGCAAUAUCCAUUUUAAAGGUGGUAAAAAGGUUUGUGUAUUUAAUUAGAAAAAAUUUCAUUUUCAGUGUGAUAGGCAGCUCUGUAACCAUUCAGCUCUUACUAAAUUAAUACAAUCUGUAUAGAUACAGCCUCAAGCCAAGCAAUUUACCUCUGAAAUCUCAAUAAACCACUUGCUCUUGAUAAACAGUAGGAUUUGAUAAAGAGUGGGCUAAUGAAAGAUAAUGAUAUUUCCAGUAAUAGCAUUAGUGGAGUUUCACUGGGGACAAGAGAGAAGAACAAGAUGUUCAGCAAGAAACUAGACCAUCAAAGCCUGAGAGCAUAUUAAGAAGAAAGCAAGCAAAGAGGAAUUCACAUCUAGUACAUGAAAAUACACCGAUUUUCUUUGGCUUUGUUUUCUGAAAGGUAUAGGGUUGGAUUUCUGGGACAAAGGAAGUGUUUAACACUGGUAACAGACCUCUGCAUGACCGGAUUGACCAAACAAAUCACAGAUGCAAGGUUUCAGUAACUGGAUGGGCCCAUGUGCAUCUAAAGAUACAGCGGCAGAGACAAAACAUCUGUGAAUUAGUUUUGCAGCCACACUCUCCAGAUGCUAGCACUCAGUGUGAAAGUUUAGCUUUACAUAUUCAAAACAGAAGCAUAUCCCGAAGUGUCAUAAAGGUUCUUAGAGGCCAGCCACACACAUUUGUAUAUACAUAGUAGAUCACGUAUAUACUUGAGUGCAAGCACAGAAAGAGUGAGUCUUGACUUCUGAUGGUUAAAGAAUUAAAAACUCUGGGCUUUCUUAAGCAGCUUGUGAGUCCAUUAGCAAUGCUACAGGUUGUAAAAACCCGAUAAGGAUAGGGUUUUUUUAGUCUUUAAUUAGUAACAAAACAAUUAGUAGAAUUUUAACAUUCUGAUUGCCUGAGGUCAUAGCUGGUUAAUAGCAAACUCAGAAAUUAUGUAUCAGACUUCUACUGUCUAGCUUGGGAAACUGAAGUAGGCACAGAGCUGUUUGCUUAAAAGAACUAAAACACAUGAAAAAUUAAGGAAAUGAAAAAAUAAAGAAGGUACAAAAUUAAUCCAUAAUACCAUCACUAUGUGGCACUGCAGUGAAAACAAGACAGCUUUUGAGUAGCCUGAUUUGGGCUAGAAAAGUGCUAAACAGGGAUGAGUCUGUAAGGCUGCUGGAAAAGUACCAUUUCUGUUGAAAUUUGACUAACUAAUCAAGUAUCAGGACAUUUACAAGAGGGAUUUAUAAGAGGACAUUUCAUCUCACCCUGACUUUGAUUCUUGUACUUUCAUUUUUAACAUUAUGUAAUUGGCCAGUAUGAGAUAAGAAUUAUUUCCUUCUGAGAAUUACUUAGCCCUUAGGAUGAAGGGCAAACUUCGAGCUCUUGCCACUUCAGGUCCUAGUACACUUGAGCUGUACUUAAGGAGCAAAAUCUGUCAGUGAAUGUCCAUGUUUCCAUUUUGAAUGACUUCUAGCAUUUUGAUUUAUUUUUUAAGAGGAUCAGCCUUUCCUAUUAUUUUUAUUUAGCUUUCAUAGCUAAUAUCUACUUGUCCGAGGUCCUCUGAAGAGCUUCCAUGAUGUCUGAUAAAAGCUGACUGACAAGGGAAUUGUCUAGAUGAAAGAAAAUGAAACAGCUGAAAAGAUCCCAAAGUCUGUCAGUCCAGUUGAGCCGUCCUUACUCAGGUUGUGGAUUUGCUCAUGCUGCUGCCUCAUCUCCAUCUGCAGGUUUUUUGUUUCCCAGAAAGCGUGGCUACUGACUCAGUCACUGUUUUCCACAGAACUUGUGCAUCAGGUUUUGUUUUCUUUCAAUUAUAUUCCAAGCCCUCUUUGCUGUUAAGGAAACCCGAAUGUGAUCUGACGCUCUGAACUUGGAGAAGGACAUAAGUGUGUCUGACAGGAAGUCUGUAUUGUAUCUUGCAGUGCUUCAAAAGUGUAACUUGUACUGUUAAAUUUUAAAGAUAUUAAGCAUCCAGUUAUGAAUUUUGGCUGUAAUUCCUGUAUAUUAAAGUAAAUAAAUAAGUA